rnacentral:tRNA from 1 species
CCUCCCAUGGCGUAGUGGUAACGCGCCCCAACUAGAGAUUGGGGAGUCGUGAGUUCGAUUCACACUGAGAAGA